rnacentral:lncRNA from 1 species
CUUCUCAAUCCCAAUCCUCAACCUCCUCUGGCUCUACUGCUAGACCUGGCGUUGUCGCUCCUCGCGGCUCUGCGGCGGCCACUGCUGGCCUCCGUCGCCGCCGUCCUGGCUCUACUUCUGCCUCCGCCUCUACUGGACUCGUAGGCGGCGGAUCAAGCGGCGGCGGUAACAUGCUGAGAUUCUACACCGACGAUGCUCCAGGCUUAAAGAUUUCUCCCACCGUCGUCCUCGUUAUGAGCCUCUGCUUCAUCGGCUUCGUCACUGGCCUCCACGUCUUUGGUAAGCUCUACCGUGCACGAUCCGCCGCUGGUGUUUAAUUCUAUGCUGAGUUCGUUUACCGUGCCUUUUCCCUUCCCGAUCUUUUCGUUUCCUAGAUUAAAUGUUCAAGUUUCUCUGUAAAU